rnacentral:lncRNA from 1 species
GAGAGAAUUUUAAUAUUUAUUUUUUAGUUUUCAGCGGACUUUGUUUGUAUGUGGUGCUGAGGAUCGAACCCGGACUGCACGCAUGCCAGGCGAGUGCGCUACUGCUUGAGCCACAUCCCCAGCCCCAGGGUCCGUCCUAUUACCAGGCAAUUUCCUUUCUCAUUUCUGGUCAUAGGUAAGGACAGAAACACAACCAACAGAUCACAUUUAGUAUCAACUCUGUUUCUGCCACCUCUCUGAAUCUGAAAAUCUAUCAGUUCCGAGUCAGUAAACUCAGAACUGAUAGAUUACCCUCCACACCAAAGGGGACUAACAGUUGUAGCUCUCCAAACUAGAAGCAAAGUAUACCUUUUAAACAUAUGUAGGAGUCUCUAGGGGAUGAUACAGACAGAGGAUGUCUUUAAGUAAUCAAUGUUUAAAGAAAGAGUACUCUUGAAUCAACUUGUCUACCUUUCAAGGGGGCUAAGAAAGUUGGUGUUGGCAGGGGGGAGGUAGAGAGAAAAGUUGGGGCUUUUAAAUUCUAAUCAACCAUUCCAAUUCAUCAUAGGGGGCUGGGGCUCUAGCUCAGUGGCAGAGCGCUUGCCUUGCAUUUGAGAGGUGCUGAGAAUCAAACCCAGCCGGAUUCCAUCCUCAGCACCACAUAAAAAUAAACAAAAUAAAGGCAUGCUGUCCAUCUACAUCUACAAAAAACAAACAAACAAACAAAAAAACUCAUCAUACUGACUCUGAGGGGAAUGUAAGGGAGCUAUGAAAUUCAAAGAGGAGUUAGCAUGGGCAGAACACACAAAAACCUCUUUCCAAAACACAAGUAUUACCUGAGUUAUACUUUGCUUGUUCAAAUUAAUCUUUCUCUUUUCCAAGUUUGAUCCUAGUGACUUCAUAGACAUCAUACUCUUAUGUGUGGGAAAACACUACACGCAGAGGAAUAAAAGCUCUUAAGUCCAGUUUUCUGGGUUUGUUUUCCGAUUCUACUUAAUGGCUAUGAAACUUUGAGCAAAUUGCUAAAUAUAUGUGUACAUUUGUUUCCUCAUCUGUAUAAUGGGAUAACAGCUUUAUAAGCAACUACUGCAUAAGGUUGUAAAGAUUAAAUGAGAUAAUAUUUGUAUCAUUAUUAAAUUUCUUUGGAACUCAUUUAAAUAAGUAUUUGAUAUAGACUACAUGCUCAAUAAAUAUUGAGCUACUAAUCAGUAUCAAUAAGACAUGAAGAAUUUCUUUACAUCUCUGAGCCUUACUUUCCUCCACUAGAAAAAUGAAAGAAAAAAAUACUAUCCUCAUAGAAUAGGCUAUGGGGAUUAAAUGAAAGAUGUAUUUAGCAUAAAGAUGUAGUAGCUAGUUGUUAUUAAAUAAUGGCCCUGCUUUUUUUGCGUCCAGAAAAGAUUUAAGUUAAUAUAUUAAAGAAUAGCUCAAUGUUAGUUAUCAAUAAUAUUCUACACACAACACACACAAAUUUUUUUUAAAAAAAUUUUGUACUAGGGAUUGAACCCAGUACAAAAUUAACCACUUAACCACUGAGUCAUACCCCUAGCCCUUUUUUAUGUUUUAUUUAGAGAUAGGGUCUUGCUGAAUUGCUUAGGGCCUCGCUAAAUAGCUGAGGUUGGCUCUGAAAAAGGUAUAAAGAAAAAGAAAAAAACAAAAAGGUUAAAGAAGAUUAUGACAGAGGUAAGAAUUCAAAGUCCCAAAG